UAAGGAAUAUUGCGCAAUGGGCGAAAGCCUGACGGAGCGACGCCGCGUGCGGGAUGAAGGCCCUUGGGUUGUAAACCGCUGUCAGAGGGGAUGAAAUCUUCGGAGGUACUCCUCCGAAGUUGACAGAGCCUCAAAGGAAGCACGGGCUAAGUACGUGCCAGCAGCCGCGGUAACACGUACUGUGCGAACGUUAUUCGGAAUCACUGGGCUUAAAGGGUGCGUAGGCGGCGAUUCAAGUCAGGUGUGAAAUGCCUGAGCUCAACUGAGGCAUUGCGCUUGAAACUGAAUUGCUAGAGUAUCCCAGGGGUGUGCGGAACUGCCAGUGGAACGGUGAAAUGUGUUGAUAUUGGCAGGAACACCGGAGGCGAAAGCGGCACACUGGGGGAUAACUGACGCUGAGGCACGAAAGCCAAGGGAGCGAACGGGAUUAGAUACCCCCGUAGUCCCUGAGCGGGCUGGCAAGGCGCAU
rnacentral:rRNA from 1 species